UUUGGUCUCAGUUCGCUGGAGACGGUACAGCUUGUACUGGCUUCUGAUCAUUCAUUUGAAACUGGCGAAUUGAUUCCUCUGACUGGAGGCAAAGAAGCGAGACUGGAAUUGAACGCUGACUGGAGGCCCUGGGUUGAGUUCUCUCUUUUACAGCUGCAACCUAGAGAGCAAUAGUUGUACGGUGACUGGUUCGGAGAAGACAGAAGUUGACUGGACUUCCCCGUCCCUGCUUGCCUGCCUUUCUGAGGAUGAGUCAGCAGCUGUACAUUUCAAGGAGGACAAGCUGGAGGGCAGGUGCCUCUGCAGAGUCGAUAGCAUUAGAGGACAGGAUGGAAGAAUAUAGGAUAUAAGGUUGCCAACGUUUGUUGCUUGAUCCUGGGCCCAAGGUCCAAGCAAGGGGAAAGGGAGAAUGAUCAAUGGCUAAGUCAGAGCCCCCGAAGUGGCUAACCAGGACACAAAGAACAGGAGUCCAGGUGGGUCCCUCUGAAGAGUGCAUUCCAAAAGUGGAGCACUACAGCUGAAAGGUCCGUUCGGCAAUCAUCACCCAUCUCAUCUUCAAAAGUGAGGGCACCCAGAGAAGGACUUGCUAUGAAAAUCUUAACGUACAUGCAAGAUCAUGUGGAAGAUUAUCUUUCUGUACCCAGGGCCCAAACCAUGUAAGGAUAACGCAUAUGAAGUAUUUAGGAAAGACGUAAUGUAAAAACAAUGAUGAUGAUGGUCUGCAUAGCAAAUGACUCAUGGUACACAGCAACGUUAAAAAAACCUUAUCCUUGUGAACUUAAGUUGCAUAAAAGGGGUGCAACAUAUCUUGCAAACUGAGGCCAUACCGGUUUGUGUUAUGAUGACGAGCAGUGGCCGAAGAUAUUUUGUUGCCUGAGCCAAAGGACAAUAUGAUACAUCCCAGCCUCCAUCUAAGAAGGGUACCUUGCAUUCUCAGACCAUUUUGUCAGCAGCAGUAGCAGCAGAAGCAGCAACAACAACAGCACAUGAGAACUCUCAGACUAAGCCUUCAAGUGGGCCAUGGCAGCUAGUGGUUAUUAGCUCAUCUCGGGGAGAGGGGGAGAGGGGAAGGAACUGGAAGAGACACGCCCUAAUGAGGCAGGGAGGGAAAAUUGAACAGCAUGUCCCAGUGGAGUGAGGAUGGUGGCAGUGGGUGGCAAGGACGCCUGUGGGAUGGUGCCAUUAGUAACUGAGAACCAGCACUUGCCACCUCACGCAUGCCUCCCAACAUCUGCGCUUGAGGUGACCACCUCACCCUGCCUCAUGAAGGGGGUCACCCAAAUGGUGACUAGUAAAAUGCUGUGUAGGUAAGCUCAGAGGAAUUUGCCAGUAAGUCAGGAAUGGGGUACUAUAUACUGUAGUUAAUUAAAUUAAAUUUUGUUGUUGUU